UACAGAGGGUGCGAGCGUUGUCCGGAAUCACUGGGCGUAAAGGGUGCGUAGGCGGGUCUUUAAGUCAGGGGUGAAAUCCUGGAGCUCAACUCCAGAACUGCCUUUGAUACUGAGGAUCUUGAGUACGGGAGAGGUGAGUGGAACUGCGAGUGUAGAGGUGAAAUUCGUAGAUAUUCGCAAGAACACCAGUGGCGAAGGCGGCUCACUGGCCCGUAACUGACGCUGAGGCACGAAAGCGUGGGGAGCAAACAGGG
rnacentral:rRNA from 1 species